AGGGCCCGAGAGGAAAAAUACCCCAGGUCGGAAUUCAGCCUUGGCAACUCAGCAUCCGAUCUUGGUCUAUAACUUAAGCGAAAUCAGUGUUCAAUUUUGAUAAUACCGUGUGAUUUUUCCCCCCUUAAAUCUACCUGGAACUUCGCGAACACCGAGAGCCAUUGAGUCCUUAGAAACACAAUAAAAUUUAAAACAUAUUGGACACACCGACUUCAAUCGUUACAGGCAAUCAGAAUCAGCCAUAAUAGAGGACCACAGCGUCAUCUAGUUUUCCUAUCUGAUUUUUAACACAAUUACUAGGUCAGUUGGUCCACACAAUUUUCUGAAGAUAAUAUCACCUGUUUGGUUAGGAGCUUUCACAAUGAAAAAAGAAUUUGUAUCAUUUUAGCGAAAAGAGAUGAUCACGGAGUGGAAA